rnacentral:rRNA from 1 species
GAAACCGAGUCUUAACCGGGCGUUAAGUUGCAGGGUAUAGACCCGAAACCCGGUGAUCUAGCCAUGGGCAGGUUGAAGGUUGGGUAACACUAACUGGAGGACCGAACCGACUAAUGUUGAAAAAUUAGCGGAUGACCUGUGGCUGGGGGUGAAAGGCCAAUCAAACCGGGAGAUAGCUGGUUCUCCCCGAAAGCUAUUUAGGUAGCGCCUCGUGAAUUCAUCUCCGGGGGUAGAGCACUGUUUCGGCUAGGGGGCCAUCCCGGCUUACCAACCCGAUGCAAACUGCGAAUACCGGAGAAUGUUAUCACGGGAGACACACGGCGGGUGCUAACGUCCGUCGUGAAGAGGGAAACAACCCAGACCGCCAGCUAAGGUCCCAAAGUCAUGGUUAAGUGGGAAACGAUGUGGGAAGGCCCAGACAGCCAGGAUGUUGGCUUAGAAGCAGCCAUCAUUUAAAGAAAGCGUAAUAGCUCACUGGUCGAGUCGGCCUGCGCGGAAGAUGUAACGGGGCUAAACCAUGCACCGAAGCUGCGGCAGCGACACUCAGGUGUUGUUGGGUAGGGGAGCGUUCUGUAAGCCUGCGAAGGUGGCCUGUGAGGGUUGCUGGAGGUAUCAGAAGUGCGAAUGCUGACAUAAGUAACGAUAAAGCGGGUGAAAAGCCCGCUCGCCGGAAGACCAAGGGUUCCUGUCCAACGUUAAUCGGGGCAGGGUGAGUCGACCCCUAAGGCGAGGCCGAAAGGCGUAGUCGAUGGGAAACGGGUUAAUAUUCCCGUACUUGGUGUUACUGCGAAGGGGGGACGGAGAAGGCUAUGUUGGCCGGGCGACGGUU